GGGCUCUCACCUCAGCAGCACACGUACUAGAAUCCGAACAAUACAGAGGUCAGCAUGGUCCCUGAGCAAGGAUGACAUGCAAAUUUGUGAAGCAAAAUACUGCUCU